UUCUCAGGCCAGAAAUGCUGAAUUGGGGGACGAUAUGAUUGGUGAAUAAUCCUAGGUGGAUAUAACAGGUGGAUUAAGCGAAAAGAGAUCUUGAAAGGCUUGAAAAGGCUUGGACUCCAUAGGAAAGUGAGUUUGAAGAGAUCGCAUCAAAUCUAGAUUCACAGAUGAACAAUUAGAAAAUACAGAGUUAGCAAAGGAUAUCACGUUUAAAGGAAAACGUUGGCUUACUAAUCGUCCUGACUGAGACUCUUUACCAACAGUUGGUCAUAAAUAUGUACAACGGAAUCAUUUGUAAGACUUUACAUGAAGAACAAAGGCAGGAAGAGAUUGGGCGGGCAAUUUCUCCAAAGAACUACUCUACAUUCGGCACAACACCCAAAUAAUCAUUCAACGAUAUAUUAACAGUCUGUAAAUGGUCAUAGUAAUAUGAUGGUGACAUCUUUAAUGAAUGAAAAAAUAUAGAAUAAUCGAA